GCGCUGCUGAGGAGUCCCCCAACAGGACGAAACGGCCGUCCAGUGC
rfam:Schistosoma curassoni strain Dakar, Senegal genome assembly, scaffold: SCTD_scaffold0000279